AGUGAACGCUGGCGGUAGGCCUAACACAUGCAAGUCGAACGGCAGCACAGUAAGAGCUUGCUCUUACGGGUGGCGAGUGGCGGACGGGUGAGGAAUACAUCGGAAUCUACUUUUUCGUGGGGGAUAACGUAGGGAAACUUACGCUAAUACCGUAUACGACCUACGGGUGAAAGCAGGGGAUCUUCGGACCUUGCGCGAUUGAAUGAGCCGAUGUCGGAUUAGCUAGUUGGCGGGGUAAAGGCCCACCAAGGCGACGAUCCGUAGCUGGUCUGAGAGGAUGAUCAGCCACACUGGAACUGAGACACGGUCCAGACUCCUACGGGAGGCAGCAGUGGGGAAUAUUGGACAAUGGGCGCAAGCCUGAUCCAGCCAUACCGCGUGGGUGAUGAAGGCCUUCGGGUUGUAAAGCCCUUUUGUUGGGAAAGAAAAGCAGCAGGUUAAUACCCCGCUGUUCUGACGGUACCCAAAGAAUAAGCACCGGCUAACUUCGUG
rnacentral:rRNA from 1 species